GAGAGUGUGGUGUAACUGGAUAACAUCUCAGUCUACGAAACUGAAGAAUUGAGGGUUCAAUUCCCUCCGCUCUCGUCA
rnacentral:tRNA from 1 species